rnacentral:snRNA from 1 species
GUGCUCGCUUUGGCAGCACAUAUACUAAAACUGGAACGAUAUAGAGAAGAUAAGCAAGGACUCUGAGCACAAAUAACAUGCAAAUUUGUGAACCAUUCCAUAUUUGA